UGGCUUAGCUAGUAGAAACCAAAGCUCUCUAUCCCAAGAGCAAGUAUUGCAUGGGUAGUAGCAAUACAAGCAUCCACCGCACAUUGUCCCUCCAUUGUGCUUCAUUCGUGACCUGAAAAGACCACCUUUAGGUCCAACAAAUCUCCAUGCUCAUUCCAUCCUCAGUUUCU
rnacentral:sRNA from 1 species